AAACCUAAAAACCCUAAAGAAAACAGAGACCCAGCACUACCCCGUCAUCCUUCUUAUCGUGAACCACCCCAACAGUCCGUCAACCAGCAGUCCCUGAACGAACCACCGCCACUGCCAUAACCACCCAGCGACCCCUUCACGGCGGCCCGUCGAGCAUCGGCGAACUGCUUCCUGCCUCACGUCCCCCAUGAGAGCUUAGAAUAUCUUUCAUGGAAUGACUGGGUGCUUGAGGUGUAAAUGUAUUCAUACUGUGGAAUUUGGGAUCAAGUAUAGUGAUUCGUGUGCUAUAUGGGAUUGGAUACUGGGAGUUCUCAGGUACCAACUACGUAGUGGUUGUGGAUCGUAUGUAUUGGUACCGUUAGCGACUAUUGGGAUUUGGAGUCCCGAGUGGAUCUUUCCUUGCUUGGUACAAUAAAUUUUGGAUAUGACAUUAGGGUAUGGGUUGGUUGUCUCAGCGUGGGUUAUUCUAGACUAUUGUGUUAUGGGCUCAGCAGAGUGAUUUGCAUUCCAAAGACAAGCGGGCGACUAUGAAGGAUUGUUUUUCUUAAUUAGGCCUUUGUGGCGGAUGUCGGUGUAGAGGUUUCUACCACUGAUCCAGUUCCGGUAUUAAGGGACUUUUUUGGAUGUGUUCCUUGUGUCGGGCAUGUCGCUGAGCGAGAUUGUGGAUUUCGGCAUUGAUUUGGUAUCGGGCACCGUAUCGUACGGCUUCGGCAUGAGUUAUAGUAGUGGGAGGAGCAACUUCAUGUUUCUUGAUUUUGUGUUCGUGGGCAGGCCAAUGUGGCUAUGUACUUGGCUUGAGUUAGCUUGGUUGGCCUCGAAUUGUGUUGAUGAGGGAUAGGUUGAUUCGAUUGUCGUUGAGCUUGCUAGUGAUCUAAGGAGAGCUAUGAGUUAUUUUUCGGUGUUUUGAGAUGUCAUGAAUGGUUGGAUAUGGGCACAUGUGGUGUUGUUCUUCUGAGGAUUCAUACAGAAAGUCGAGCGGGAAGAGCAAUCGAGUGUUGCUCAGUAAUCGGAGUAUUGGCUAUGGCCAAUUGGGCUGUGAGCCUUAUGUUAAUUGUUUCACCAUGAGUGUAAUUUGGUUUCAGACAUCAAUUUGUGCGUGGUUUUCUAUCUUGAGCAUAGUGACUUGAGGUGAUUCAAGUGUAACAAUGUUUGUAUAGGAUCACGCAUUGUGGCGAGGCCACGUGAAGUUAUGACCAUUCGAGGAGGAUUCAGGUACUCUAUUCCUAUGAUGUGAGACGGGUUCUCUCCUUUGUGUUGAAAUGGUAUUGAAGAGCAUGAGGUACAACUCUUCCAUUUGAGCCAUUUAUCCUGAUUUGAGUAUGUUCAGGCCGUUCCUUAAUGGUGAGUACAUUUUGCAAGUUGUGGCUUAGGCAUGUAUUGUGAGGUCAUAUCACCAGAGUGGUGUGUUGGAUUCUAGGUGGUCACUGGAGUCAUUAAUGAAUACGAACAAAUUUGAUUUCAGCUUGUCAGAAGGAUAAUAUCGAGGUUUGGCCCUAAAAUCUGUUGUGAUAUAGUCAGCGGGAAGUGGUUUCAUGAAUGGUUGAUCUCAGGCUACCGUUCGAGUGUUUGGAUUAUGUGGUAUAUCAUAUGAUUUCAUCCGAGUUGCAAGUAUGGGUUAUUACAGCUAGUUCGGGUUUAUUCUGAGUGUAGAUGUGAGGUUCUGAUCUUGUGUAUGAUUUCGGAAAGUACAAUAUGGUUCUACGGUUUAUGGUCUAGAUGAAUUGUGAGAUUUCAGCUAUGUUGUGUUGUCGGACCGAUACGAGAUAGGGUAGCAUGGGAUUACCCUGGGUAUAUGCUUCGUAAGGUUAUUCAGCUAUUGGUUGGCUUCUAGGACAACUCUGGGUACGCUCGAGGAUGAGCAUUGGUUUAAGUUGGGGAGGAUGUGACGACCUUACCCGUCGUCUCAUGUGUUACUGCUCCAUUUUCCCCAUUUUAUGCUCUUUCAUAUUUCAUUAUCAGUGUUUGGUGUGUUAGAGUUAAUUUGGAUUGGUUUUGGUAGAAAAUGAGACAUUUAGUCUCUUUAAGGAAGGCUUAUUUUGGAAAAUUUAACCGGACAUUUACUUAUGAGUUAGAAGCUUCGAAUAAGAUUUUCGGUGAUUCGGUUAGCUUCAUGGGAUGAUUUUUGACUUAGGAUCAUGAUCGGAAUUUUUGUUGGAGGUCCGGUAUAGAAUUAGGCUUGAAUUGGCGAAGUUAGUAUUUUGGCGAAUUCCGUUUGAUAGGUGAAAUUUUGGCCUGAGGAUCGAAAUAGCUUCGAGUGUGUCGGAAGACGCUGAAGCAGAAGGUUGGAUUGGAGCAGGUUCCGCAAAAGCGCAAGUCAUGACCGCUGAAGCGAUCGCGCUAAUGCAAUAAUUAGGCCGCAGAAGCGGUCAAGGCCUUAAGUGAAGGACCGCAGAAGCGGACGUGGACCGCAGAUGCGGUAGUUGCAGAAGCGACAAUUUUUCCGCAAAAGCGGUAUCGCUUGGGCAGUUAAAUGAAAUGGUCCUCUUCGUGAAUUUUUGAAAGAGCAACAUUUUAGACUUCACACUAAGAAGGUUUCUGGGCGAUUUUUGAAGAGGGUUUCGAGGGCUUUCUUCAGGUAUGGAUUCUUGGACUUAGAAUAUAUUAUUAUGGUAUAAAAUCAUGGAUUAACACUAAAAACCCAAGGAAUUAAAGGUUAAAAAUUGAAGUUAGGGCUUGAAACUUAAGAGAGUUUAAACCAGGAGUUUGAGGGGUCAAAUGGACUCCGAUUUUUAUGAAUUUGAUAUGUAUAGACUCGUGGCGAAACAAGGAGUCUGGUGAUGUAAGUUUUGUAAUUUUUCGAGAAGCGGUUUGCUAGUUUCAAUAUUUUUGCUAUUUCUCAAUUAUUUUAGAUUGGGUAUUGUUACCUUAGCAUAUUGUGAUGUAUUCGCUCUGAUUUUGGUUAGAUUCGACGCGCGUGGAG
rnacentral:lncRNA from 1 species